CCAGUUAUGCCAAUGGCAGCUGCAGCCCCGACUCCAUUUGUGCUCUGGCCCCAAAUGCCUCAUCUCUCCUGGGAUUCAAGCCAGCGCCCCCAGGUGGAGUCUUGCUCUGCUGCCCAGGCUGGAGUGCAAUGGUGCAGUGCUGUGAUCUCGGCUCACUGCAACCUCUGGCUCCCCAGUUCAAGAGAUUCUCCUGCCUCAGCCUCCUGAAUAGCUGGGAUUACAGGCACCCGCCACCACACCUGGCUAAUUUCCAUAUUUUUAGCAGAGAUGAGGUUUCAACAUGUUGACCAGGCUGGUCUCGAACUCCUGACCUCAAGUAAUCUUCCCACCUCAGCGUCCCAAAGUGCUGGGAUUAUAGGGGUGAGCCACUGGGCCCAGCCAAUAUCACAGCUUUUAAUUUGAAAAGUGGAA